rnacentral:rRNA from 1 species
GACGAACGCUGGCGGCGUGCUUAACACAUGCAAGUCGAACGGAAAGGCCCUGCUUUUGUGGGGUGCUCGAGUGGCGAACGGGUGAGUAACACGUGAGUAACCUGCCCUUGACUUUGGGAUAACUUCAGGAAACUGGGGCUAAUACCGGAUAGGAGCUCCUGCUGCAUGGUGGGGGUUGGAAAGUUUCGGCGGUUGGGGAUGGACUCGCGGCUUAUCAGCUUGUUGGUGGGGUAGUGGCUUACCAAGGCUUUGACGGGUAGCCGGCCUGAGAGGGUGACCGGCCACAUUGGGACUGAGAUGCGGCCCAGACGCCUACGGGAGGCAGCAGUGGGGAAUAUUGCACAAUGGGCGGAAGCCUGAUGCAGCAACGCCGCGUGGGGGAUGACGGCCUUCGGGUUGUAAACCGCUUUCGCCUGUGACGAAGCGUGAGUGACGGUAAUGGGUAAAGAAGCACCGGCUAACUACGUG